rnacentral:rRNA from 1 species
UACAGAGGGGGCAAGCGUUGUUCGGAAUUACUGGGCGUAAAGGGCGCGUAGGCGGCCUUCUAAGUCGAACGUGAAAUCCCCGGGCUCAACCCGGGAACUGCGUCCGAUACUGGAAGGCUUGACUCCGGGAGAGGGAUGCGGAAUUCCAGGUGUAGCGGUGAAAUGCGUAGAUAUCAGGAGGAACACCGGUGGCGAAGGCGGUUCUCUGGGAAUGUCCUGACGCUGAGGAGCGAAAGUGUGGGGAGCGAACAGG